rnacentral:rRNA from 1 species
UGAGCCAAGUUUAGGGUUUUCUCAAAACCCGAGCAGUAUUGAACUGAAGAGUUUGAUCAUGGCUCAGAUUGAACGCUGGCGGCAGGCCUAACACAUGCAAGUCGAGCGGAUGAAGGGAGCUUGCUCCUGGAUUCAGCGGCGGACGGGUGAGUAA